rnacentral:lncRNA from 11 species
GUAGAACUGCAGCAGAAGGAAUUUUUCUCAUGUAAAUCCAUUUUGAAAAUGCAGCACAAUUGAAAGGUAUUGAGAAGCUUCAUUCAUCAGCUAAAAGGGGUGCUCCAGGAAUGUGUGGGAUAUGAAACAGCUACAGGACAGACAUACAUUAUAUGGUCUCCAGAUGUCAUUGGUCUACAGCUUCCAUCAGCACCCAUCAUAGCCAAGAAUGAAGAUGGGGGUUGUAAUACAACAACAUUUGGCAAGAUAUGUAUCGCUUACCUUUUACACACACAGCAUAUAUGAAGGUGGCACAUGCCCAGGCUCAUCAUAAAUAUAUAUAGGACCAUCCUGCCCAUUUAUUUCCCAGACCUAUUGUAUCUCUAAAGGGCCACUUCACAGCAGUCCAUUUUUGAAAUUCUGUUUUUAAAACCAUUGCUUUUUGUACAAUACAUUAAUUAAGGUUUAAUAAGUAAAUAACUAUUGUAUGCAUCAUGCCCUACCUUCAACUAUUCAAAAUGACUGAAUUUAUAACAGAACUGUCUAUCAUUUUUCUAAUUGUAUAAACACUGAAGUGUUCUUCUCACUAAAACUUCACAAUAGCACCAUGUUUCAUUUGAAUAUUAAUAGUCUCC